rnacentral:lncRNA from 10 species
CUUUUGCCUCUUCUGGAUUUCAGGUAACAAAGCACCACAUUAGAUACUGAAGAUAGAAAUUUGCUUAAGAUAUGGUCUCAGCAUUCAACAGGCUGGUGUUCUGGUUGAGAAGGAGUACAUGGAUCUUUCUUUCUCCUACCCCUGGAGACUAACAAAGUCUCACUCUGCUGUCCAGGCUGGAGUGCAGUGGCGCGAUCUCGGCUCACUGCAACCUCUGCCUCCCAGGUUCAAGCGAUUCUCCUGCCUCAGCCUCUCAAGUAGCUGGGACUACAGACUUCCUCUGAUGCACAAACCUGGGAUGUGCUGUGCAAAUCAGCUACCUGGGCUUCCCACCUGUGGAUGCUCACUGACCUGGGGCCGCACCAGGUGAUUUCAGGACUUCCUCAGAGAAAACCCAGGCAAGACACCAGCAACAGAGCUACCCUGAUAAUUAUUAAAUUAGCUCUAUGUGGAGAAGC